rnacentral:rRNA from 1 species
GUGGGGAAUCUUGCGCAAUGGGCGAAAGCCUGACGCAGCCAUGCCGCGUGGAUGAUGAAGGUCUUAGGAUUGUAAAAUCCUUUCACCGGUGAAGAUAAUGACUGUAGCCGGAGAAGAAGCCCCGGCUAACUUCGUGCCAGCAGCCGCGGUAAUACGAAGGGGGCUAGCGUUGCUCGGAUUUACUGGGCGUAAAGGGCGCGUAGGCGGACAUUUAAGUCAGGGGUGAAAUCCCGGGGCUCAACCUCGGAACUGCCGUUGAUACUGGGUGUCUUGAGUAUGAGAGAGGUGUGUGGAACUCCGAGUGUAGAGGUGAAAUUCGUAGAUAUUCGGAAGAACACCAGUGGCGAAGGCGACACACUGGCUCAUUACUGACGCUGAGGCGCGAAAGCGUGGGGAGCAAACAGGAUUAGAUACCCUUGUAGUCC